rnacentral:rRNA from 1 species
GACGAACGCUGGCGGCGUGCUUAACACAUGCAAGUCGAACGAAGUGGCGAAAGGGUGAGUAACGCGUAAUCAACCUGCCCUUCAGAGGGGGACAACAGUUGGAAACGAAUGCUAAUACCGCAUACUGAAGGAGGGGAGUGGGUCUGAUUAGCUAGUUGGAGGGGUCCCGGCCCACCAAGGAGAUGAUCAGUAGCCGGUCUGACAGGAUGAACGGCCACAUUGGUACGGAGACACGGCCCAUACUCCUACGGGAGGCAGCAGUGGGGAAUCUUCCGCAAUGGACGAAAGUCUGACGGAGCAACGCCGCGUGAGUGAUUACGGCCUUCGGGUUGUAAAGCUCUGUUAAUCGGGACGCGGUACCGGAAUCGAAAGCCACGGCUAACUACGUGCCAGCAGCCGCGGUAAUAC